CCUACGGGAGGCAGCAGUGAGGAAUAUUGGUCAAUGGACGAGAGUCUGAACCAGCCAAGUAGCGUGAAGGAUGACUGCCCUAUGGGUUGUAAACUUCUUUUAUAAGGGAAUAAAACGAGGCACGUGUGCCUUUUUGCAUGUACUUUAUGAAUAAGCAUCGGCUAACUCCGUGCCAGCAGCCGCGGUAAUACGGAGGAUCCGAGCGUUAUCCGGAUUUAUUGGGUUUAAAGGGAGCGUAGAUGGGUUGUUAAGUCAGCUGUGAAAGUUUGUGGCUCAACCGUAAAAUUGCAGUUGAUACUGGCAGUCGUGAGUACAGUUGAGGUAGGCGGAAUGCGUGGUGUAGCGGUGAAAUGCAUAGAUAUCACGAAGAACCCCGAUUGCGAAGGCAGCUUACUAAACUGUGACUGACAUUGAGGCACGAAAGUGUGGGUAUCAAACAGGAUUAGAUACCCGGGUAGUC
rnacentral:rRNA from 1 species